AGCAGCCGCGGUAAUUCCAGCUCCAAUAGCGUAUAUUAAAGUUGUUGCAGUUAAAAAGCUCGUAGUUGAAUUUCGGGGUUAGCAGGUCGGUCGUGCCAUUGGUAUGAACUGGUCUCGCUGAUCCCUCCCUCUUGACGAACUGUGAUGCCAUUCAUUUGGUGUCGCAGGGAAUCAGGACUGUUACUUUGAAAAAAUUAGAGUGUUUAAAGCAGGCUUUAGCUUGAAUACAUUAGCAUGGAAUAAUGAAAUAGGACGUUCGAUCCUAUUUUGUUGGUUUCUAGGAUUGACGUAAUGAUUAAUAGGGAUAGUUGGGGGCAUUAGUAUUCAAUUGUCAGAGGUGAAAUUCUUGGAUUUAUUGAAGACUAACUACUGCGAAAGCAUUUGCCAAGGAUGUUUUCAUUAAUCAAGAACGAAAGUUAGGGGAUCGAAGACGAUCAGAUACCGUCGUAGUCUUAACCAUAAACUAUGCCGACUAGGGAUCGGAUGAUGUUAAUUUUUUAAUGACUCAUUCGGCGCCUUACG
rnacentral:rRNA from 1 species